CGCGGAGUAGAGCAGUGGUAGCUCGUCGGGCUCAUAACCCGGAGGUCGUAGGUUCGAAUCCUGUCUCCGCAA
rnacentral:tRNA from 1 species